rnacentral:rRNA from 1 species
UACGAAGGGGGCUAGCGUUGUUCGGAAUCACUGGGCGUAAAGGGCGCGUAGGCGGCUUUAUAAGUCGGGGGUGAAAGCCUGUAGCUCAACCACAGAAUUGCCUUCGAUACUGUUUGGCUUGAGACCGGAAGAGGUUAGUGGAACUGCGAGUGUAGAGGUGAAAUUCGUAGAUAUUCGCAAGAACACCAGUGGCGAAGGCGGCUGACUGGUCCGGUUCUGACGCUGAGGCGCGAAAGCGUGGGGAGCAAACAGG